rnacentral:rRNA from 1 species
AACGCUAGCUACAGGCUUAACACAUGCAAGUCGAGGGGAAACGAUAUUGGAAGCUUGCUUCCGAUAGGCGUCGACCGGCGCACGGGUGAGUAACGCGUAUCCAACCUGCCCAUCACUUGGGAAUAACCUUGCGAAAGUAAGACUAAUACCCAAUGACAUCCCACGAAGACAUCUGAAUGGGAUUAAAGAUUUAUCGGUGAUGGAUGGGGAUGCGUCUGAUUAGCUUGUUGGCGGGGUAACGGCCCACCAAGGCAACGAUCAGUAGGGGUUCUGAGAGGAAGGUCCCCCACAUUGGAACUGAGACACGGUCCAAACUCCUACGGGAGGCAGCAGUGAGGAAUAUUGGUCAAUGGGCGAGAGCCUGAACCAGCCAAGUAGCGUGCAGGAAGACGGCCCUAUGGGUUGUAAACUGCUUUUAUAAGGGAAUAAAGUGAGCCUCGUGAGGCUUUUUGCAUGUACCUUAUGAAUAAGGACCGGCUAAUUCCGUGCCAGCAGCCGCGGUAAUACGGAAGGUCCGGGCGUUAUCCGGAUUUAUUGGGUUUAAAGGGAGCGUAGGCCGGAGAUUAAGCGUGUUGUGAAAUGUAGAUGCUCAACAUCUGCACUGCAGCGCGAACUGGUUUCCUUGAGUACGCGCAAAGUGGGCGGAAUUCGUGGUGUAGCGGUGAAAUGCUUAGAUAUCACGAAGAACUCCGAUUG